UCGUUCCUACGGGAGGCAGCAGUGGGGAAUAUUGCACAAUGGGGGGAACCCUGAUGCAGCGACGCCGCGUGAGUGAAGAAGUAUUUCGGUAUGUAAAGCUCUAUCAGCAGGGAAGAAAGAAAUGACGGUACCUGAGUAAGAAGCCCCGGCUAACUACGUGCCAGCAGCCGCGGUAAUACGUAGGGGGCAAGCGUUAUCCGGAAUUACUGGGUGUAAAGGGAGCGUAGACGGGAAUGCAAGUCUGGAGUGAAAGG
rnacentral:rRNA from 1 species